GAUGAACGCUGGCGGCGUGCCUAAUACAUGCAAGUCGAGCGAACAGACGAGGAGCUUGCUCCUCUGACGUUAGCGGCGGACGGGUGGGUAACACGUGGAUAACCUACCUAUAAGACUGGGAUAACUUCGGGAAACCGGAGCUAAUACCGGAUAAUAUAUUGAACCGCAUGGUUCAAUAGUGAAAGACGGUUUUGCUGUCACUUAUAGAUGGAUCCGCGCCGCAUUAGCUAGUUGGUAAGGUAACGGCUUACCGAGGCAACGAUGCGUAGCCGACCUGAGAGGGUGAUCGGCCACACUGGAACUGAGACACGGUCCAGACUCCUACGGGAGGCAGCAGUAGGGAAUCUUCCGCAAUGGGCGAAAGCUUGACGGAGCAACGCCGCGUGAGUGAUGAAGGUCUUCGGAUCGUAAAACUCUGUUAUUAGGGAAGAACAAAUGUGUAAGUAACUAUGCACGUCUUGACGGUACCUAAUCAGAAAGCCACGGCUAACUACGUG
rnacentral:rRNA from 1 species